AUAUAUAUAUAUAUAUAAACUAAACUGUGUGAAUGCAAGGAAAAUAAAUCACCUUAGUUUUCAUGGAAUGAGAAGUAGGCGAGUGGGUCACAGAGUUGGAGGGAGAUUUUGUCACUACAGUUUUGUCCCUUAUGUGUUUGGACCAUUUGAAGGUUACUAGCUCUUGAAAAAAAAUCAGUUCUAGGACAUAAAUUAUGAAGACAGAGUCUUGAAAAAAUUGAACGUUAAAAUAUAUUGUUUUAAUAAAACAUUUUAGUUUCCUUGCUUGAAAAGCAGCAUUGCUCUGAGGGGGAAGAAGCAGGCCAUUUAGGAGGAGCAUGUGUGUUUAAUUAAAUUGCCCCUUCAGCAAUAUUAAAAAUCAGUCAGUUGUGAUUUGGUGUGGAAUAUAUUAAAACCUUAUGGGAGACUGAGUUCCCAAGGUUGCUUUGAAGUUCCACCGGGGAAAAGAAGGGGUUAAAGGUGUGGUGCAGGUAAAAGAAGGGUUAAGAGCGUUAUGCAAGCUGUUAAGUAAAAAGGAAGUGCAUUACAAAAUGCUGAGCUCAGGAGUCUGGCUGCCAGCCAAGCCUUUGCUUUCUUCACUACAGCUGAGGGCUUUCGAAGCUUUUCACCAGUGGGUUUGUCUGAACUGUUUAGGAAUGCGGCCGCGGCCGCCAGCUGACGUCAGGGCCUCCAGUUCAGCUGCGGGCCAGAGGCUAGGACUGAAAGCGCUGGGAGUCGGGGCGGGCAGGCGUGUGACUGACAGCGCAGGGGCGGGCCCGUGCCGCGGUGUGUGACUGACUGAGUGGAGGUGAAGUAGAACAGCGCGGGGGCUUGGAGUUCCUUAAUAAAUGCUAAAUUCUGAUGAUAGAUUUUUCUUGCAGUAAGGUGAAAGACUUUUUCUCCUGUUUCCAAAAGCCAGGACUCUGUAUUGCUUCAGUAUAAGUAGUAAGUAUAAGCAUAAAAUUAAACACUUAUAACUUACAUAUCGAAGUGUCAGAGUUCAUGGGCCAUUUUAUUAUUUGUUUUUGUUUCUGAGAAAGGAGGAGCAAUAAAACUAUGGUGAUUCUUUGAUGGUGGAGGGGCUAGAGAAAUGCUUUUGCUGGAUGAUGAUGUUCUUGAUUUUUUUUUUUUUUACAUAAAGCCCAUUUCAUUUUCAGAAUGGGUACCAGAAAGAAAUAGUAAACGCUCUAAAAUGCAGUUCUGCAAAACAAAAGAUCAAAUAGGAGAAAUAUGUGGAAAACUGCCAGCAUUUAUACAACUAUUACAAACACCUUUGGGUGUGAUAACUUUGGGUUAUUACAGCUGAUACUUAAAAAUGUGGGAUUUUCCUGGAGACAUGUUACAAAGAUCAUAGUUAGAACUAACCCCUCACCUGCUUACAUCCUGUUCUCAGGUUAAUUUUUCUUUUAAAAGCAUUUGUUUUCUUGACUAUUAAUCAGAUCAGUUUGGUUAUAUCCAAGAUUUUUGUUAACCUUUUGCUUCUUCCUUAAUGUGAGUCAGAGUCAGGAAUGCAAGUUUGUUAGCUUUCUGUGGAGGGAGACACGUGGAGCAGUGAGAGGUGUGGGUGGUUAGCAUGAAGUGCCACACAAGUUUAUAAACAGAGAUCUGAAAGGAGCCGUUAAACUUUGUGGAAAACUUUGUUACUUGAUCGGCCCCAUAAAUGAAGGCCCUUUCCAGUGGCUACUGAAGUUAUCUGGUAUAGCCAGUUUAAUUGACUCCCUUUGAGAAACUGUUUCAGGGACCCCAAAUAUAUCAGUGUGUUAAUAGUGACUUUUGAUAGAGGGGAGUUUUAGCCUUUCAUGAAAGGAAACUAGUAUGCUUCUUUGUCCUUCUUAAUGAGAAGCUGCUUCUGUAUGAUCUGGGUCAUUUUCUUGGGCAUUGACAGCAGUCACCUUCUGGAUUCAGUCAGUAUAAUUUCAUCUGUGAGCAACAGCCCAACUAAGGUGAAGUCACAAAACAAAAAACCAGGACCUUCUUGGGUAAAAGACAACAUGGUCAGCACUAAAUUCUCAAAUGAUCAAGUGCUCACAUCUAAAUUGUCAAGUUACACAGAAUUGAAGAGUGUUCUGAGAUUUUGAAUAAUAUCAUAAUGAUUUAUUUUCUUUUUAAAGCAUCAGGCUAUACUUUAAACUUUGGCAAUAAUACACUUCAUGUAUAAAGAACUAGAAACUAUUCUGUUAUAUUGGAUACAAAUAUUAGGUUAUUCCAUUUAACACAUGUACUAUCCAACAGGAUUUUUGGUAUUUGAACAUUGAAUUAGGAAAGAGGUUAUCAAUUCUUGCUUAGUCACCAGCUAUGUGACUGUGCAAUCACAUUUGAUUUUGCAGUGUCUUGGUUUCUCCAGGGGAAAAGCUUUUAAUUAGUUUCCCCAUAAUAGGACUCAAGAAGAAAGGCCAUUAUCAAAACAUAAAACUAUUCUGAGCAAUAGGACAGUUUGGUUGGGCUCCCUAGGAAUAUGGCAGCAGAACGAAUGAAGACCUGGUGUGACUGCUUUCUGGUCUUUCCAUACCCCUGCUGUUUAAAACACCCAGGCACUUUUGCUGUGAAGUCCUCAUUGGGCUGCCCUGUGUUCUAGCAGAGGAGUUGCAAAUGCUUUGAGUAUGAAUUUAGAAUUAGAGUUUCCUUUCUUUGUUUUUACAAAAAUAAUUAUCAUUUCUUCUAAGAAAAAAAUUUCUUCAAAACAUAGAGUAAAUGCUUAUGAUUUGUUGGAUGCAUUUAUUUUUGGACUUUGUAGAAAAAAGUAUGACCUAGUUAAUCAACUGCUUUUUAAAGAUCUGCUUAAUACCACCUAAGUCGAGCAUAAUUUGGGUUAUAAAGGAUGGGAAUAUGGCAAAAAUUGCCUCCCAACAGUUAAUUGAUGUUAGUAAAAAAGGGACCCUUUACUUGGAAGUUUUUACCCAAAACUGCAGUGUUCUUGCUGUCCAGAAGUACUAUGAAAUGUUUUAGGAAGUGCCAACUUUGUCUUUAUUAAGAAUCCUUUAAAAUUUCGUUUGUCUAUUUAAUCCAUGUUUUAAAGUAUAUCUACAAAUACUUUUCCAUUUGUAAUUACUGUGUAUUCAAAAAAAUUAACUGAAGACGUUGUAGCAGACAGUACCAAAUAACCUCAAAUAACACUGAAUUGAUUUAAUUCAAACCCACAAGGACCAAAAAAAAGCUUGUGAGCCCCGUAGCUUACCCCUAGUACAUCUUUAGUUUCUAUUAGAUGGUUUGAAAUUUUGAGCAAAGCCAUAGAUACUUUGUUUCCAGUGACUGUUUGGGAUUUUGAGACUGGGCCCCCUAUAUUUAGACCUCAUGAUUGAGAGAAAAAAACCUCAUAAAAGAAAGUUGAGAUGCUUUUCAUGCUGUGAUAGAACUCUUGGGAAGGUCAGAAUUGAAAUUAUCAUACUUUAGAUUCGAUACUGUCUUUAUUUCAAAUGGGUGGGACAAAAAGCAGCUUCCUUGGUUUGAUCCUGUGAAGGCUGACAACUCAGGCAUAGGCAUAAUAAUGUAUCCUUUUAGUAUAUUUCAGAACUUUAACUUAGACUCUUUCCUCUUCUGUUUCCGUGUGUAUCAGGAAUUAGUUAUGUGAAGGCUUACCUUAUUUGGAGCAGCUGGCAGCAAGUUUGUAUCUUAGUUCUGGUUAGUGUUUGAACUAUUUGCAUAUUCCUUUUAUAGGCUACUUUUUGGCUUCUGUGGAGAAGAAAUUGAAGAGAUCAAGUUCAGCAGUGAAAGCAGAUGGUCAAAACUCGGAAAGGCAAAUUGUAUUCAGUUUUCAAACUCUUCUGCUAAUCUGUUUUGGUUUCUAAGAGCACUGCUAAAGAAUCUGUGCAUUCUUAGAACUGUUCAUCUUAAAUAUUAAUUUGAGUUAGUGUAUUGUGGACUUCCUCUCAUUGGAAGCUGAUUUCUUGUGUUGCUUUCCAUUUUAUGGUUGAAGUUUAUCAUUAAAAUUUGUUUUCCCAUCCAUUCAUUAUUUUCUCAGAUAUUUUCAGAAUACCCACUGUGUGUCAAACUUUUAAAUGUCAGGUGCUAGGUACAUUCUGCUGAAUAAAAACAGCUUUCUUGCUUCAUAGAGCUUACGGUCUACUGGAAAUUAGAGAUAAUAAAGUAUGUCUGGAGGAAGUUCCUGAGAAGAAGGAUAUGAUAUGUACAAGUAACUAAAAGGAACUCAGCAUGGGUGGUGAAGAAGAGGUAGGUCAGGGUAGAGGAAUGCCAGAUGGGGUAGGAAAAAUGGGCUGGACAAGAUUCUGUAAGGCAUUUCUAGGGCGUGGCUAAGGAAUUGGCUUUUUCUCCGAGUGUAGUGGCAAGCCACCUUCCAGCUGCUGUGGGGAGAAUUAGGUUGGUGAGGGGCACACAUAGAAACAUGGAAGGUGAUUGCAGUGGUUCAGGCAAUAUUAGCUUGGACUAGUGUGGGGCAGUGGAGAUGGAAGAAGUGGACAAAUAAACAGGGUUUAGUGAUGGAAUUAGAUGAGGUGUGGGUGAAGAAGAGGAAAGAAUCAAAAGUGACCGCAGGUUUCUGCUUUAAACAGCUGGGCACUGUUUACUGGAGGGGCUUUAAAGUAUGACAAAUCGGGAGUUUGGUUUUGGACCUAAGUUGUAGCAAUUCAGCAGAGAGGUCAGGUAAGGUAAGUAGAGUGGCUGGAAUCUUGUAUUUUCUUUUGCUCUAUAGAAUUAGUUAUGCUAUAAAAAAUUGAAGAUGAAAGAUUUUAACUGCUACUUGUUGUGUUUCUUAGUAUCUCAGACUGAAUUACUUUAUAGUAGGAGACUUUUAUCCCCUUUGUAGAAGCAGAAAUAUCUUCUAGAAGUUGUAAACACAAUAGACUGCCCCCAAACUGAGGAGCUCAGCAGGAGAGAAAUUUGUGCUCAUUAAAUAUGAUUGGGGGGGGUAAAUAAAAUGAAGACUAUGUAUGUUUCAGAGGAGUGAGUGCUCUUCUGAUAGUUGAUUUUUAAGUAUUUCUUUGCUUACUUUUUGGAUUCUUUCCCCUGAGUGAUGUUAGGCAUCUUAAAGAAAAAUACAUAAUAAAAUAAAAUAAAGUAGAAGUAGAAAGUAAAGAUUAUACAUAUUUGCCUACCAGGUGACUAGUUUAUGAAAAUUAGAAAUACUGUAAAAUUGUGUUUUUGGAAUAGUGUUAAAAUCAGGACAUUGUUCCAAACUUGGUACAUUUCUAUAUUGGCUGGCUAGAAGGUUGGAAAGUUGAUGUUUUAUGAUGUUAUAUUUUGUUUCUGCAGAUGAUAUCAAGGACCUGCCUUGACUUGCUUUACUGGUACUGGUGUCCAGGCAUUCUCAAAUGAUAUUCCUUAACACUAGUUAUAAAUUUAUAAUAGAGUUACUUAAUAAAUUGGUGACUUUGUGGAACACAAAUAAUGCUUUACUUGGCACUUUUCUCUAAGAAGCUGAGAUACAUGAUUAGACUAAAUUGGAUAGGAAAUCCUGGGUUUAGUUCAAGACAAGACUUUCCUGAAGCUGGGUAUCUGCCAGAUAGGACCAUAGGAUAAUAGAACCAAAGACCUCUAGUAAUGGAGACAGAAGUGACUCAAAUAAUAGGGAGUACAGCAAAAGUUGAAGAGUAGGUGCCUUAUGCUGUGCUGAUCACUUUCUCAGCAUUAUUUUAUUUAAACAUUAAUUUUUACAAGAAGGCUGCGGAGUAGAUGAUAUUUGAACGUUCACUUUGUAAAUGAGGAAACUAGGUUGCAGGUGCUUACUACUUGUUCCAGGAUAGAGAGCCAACAAAUGCCAGAGUUGGGGCUUCCACCUAGGUUUGACUGGCUUCAAAGCCAAUGCUUUCAGUCACUGUUCUCUGUGGCUGGAACACAGAGCCAACACGUUUUGUAUUCCUGCAGGCCGUUCUGGAGUUACAGAGAAGUCAGUGUGGUGGAGUUCAAAUAGGCUUUUGCUUGUUACUUUAGAAGCUGAAGUGUAUGAAGUUGUAGUCUAUAAGGUAAUUUAGAGGUACUUAGUGUGUUUGAAGACAGUGUUACAUAAGAAUGUGUUUGUGUAUUGGGAUGGAUAUGAGAUGACAACUGGAAUUAACCACAUAAAGGUUCUGAGCCCCAUUUCUCUACAACUGAGAACUUCAAGGGCAAAAGCCUUUAUAAAACAUUUACCAAUGAAAGGUAAUGGGAGCCUAAGUUAUUCAAGAUAAGCUUAUCAGGGCUUGGAAUACUAGCAAUCUGAUUUUACUGUAAAACCAAAAGCACAGAUCAUAAUCUUAAGUCUAACCUUCUUACAUGUGGGUUGGGUAGAGAACUAUGCAGAUCCUAGGAAUCACUGGGACUAAAAAAGGGCAGAUGGAAGUAGGCUCUCUACACAGGAGCUUGUACAACAAAAGGCAUUCGUUCCUGUGUUGCUCAGUGGGUCUAAAUGCUGGGAAGGAAUAGAGAGAAAGGAAGUUGAAAGGCUUGGUUCUCACAGUGCUGUUCUGUGUGAUGAUACCUCAUGGAGACCACCGUGUUAAGAUGAGUCAAUUCCGGUUACCUUUGGGAUUUCCCUACUAGUGAAACUUGUCUUCACAGAGCUUCAUCUCCCCUCUCCCCAUACCCCCAGAAACUAUGAAACUAUUGAAAAUUUUAGUAAGAAUUUUAGAUAUUCUAGUAGGGAUUUCCUGGAUCCAUAGCCUGUGAUAACAUACUGCUUUUGAUCUUCCUUCUAGCUGAUUAUAUACCUGUCAGAGCUUAAACACCUUUGAUCUCCUGGGGCUUUGGUAGCAUCCUGCUUCUAGAUUGUCUCAGAAGUGAUGAGUGUGCAGCAGGUAAGCCUUUCAGCCAGCUGAUUAGGACCUCAUGUCAAGGACAUUAAUCGAGGGUUUGAUCUCUCUAGUCUGUCCCAAUGGAAGUGAUUUAGUUUAGGUCUGCCACCUCCUUUGGCUUCAGGUAGUCCACAGCCCUAGCCUGCUAACUUGCCAGCUCUAUCACCUUUGGAUUGCAAAACAAUUACUUGAAAAGAUUAAUGGACAAUAAUAGGUUACUAAGACUAGAAAAACACAAAGCCCAUGUGAAAAAACGAGUUAAAGGAAGUGAACAUGUGAAGAGAAGGAAGGAGAAGGAUGGACAGAACGAGUCAGAUAGUGUAUACCUCGGUUAGCAUCUGCUCGUGGAUUAGGUGACAUUAGGACGGACUGCAGUUGUAACACGAAAAAGUCUCAGUUCACAAAGUACACAUUGCCUGUCUCUGCUAGAGGGUUCUGCCUCACUAAAUGCUGACAAAGUUAUUCAAGUUCAGUUUUAAAAGUGCACUUUUUUUUAGUGUAAAUAGAUCCAAGUUCCCAAAGAAGCCUUUUCCUGAAAGCUGUAUGUUCUUUCUUAAGAAUGUUUUUUUCAGAUAUUGUUAGAGGACACAGGUUCGGAAUUGUAGAACACAAGAGCAGGAAAGGUUGUCUGAGAGGCUGUGACUAUACUAUAUGCGUAGAGUUUGAGGAUAAACAGCAAAACUAACCCCCAAAAGUUCAUGUUUAGCACAUGCUUUUCCUAGUGUUCUGGGUUGUUAACAAUAUGAGUAAUUAGAUCCUUCUUAAGAAUGUACUUUUUAAUUUACACAAGUAGGGAGAAUCUGUGUUUUGAAAUAUGUACUAGAGAGGAAUGUCUUUUCUCUACUUGAGGAACUGGUAUACUCAGAAUUUUGGAGAACAAGUAGAUUGUUGGUCUGUGAAAUUUUGAAGCAGAUUGUACUUACCAGUUUUUCUACAUAAGCAAAUUAUGUGAUUUUUCCUUAAAGUCCUCCUCCUUAGAUGAGGCACUAAGGAAGACACUUGAACCUAUCUAAAAACCAUUGAGGAAACCAUUGAGGAUUCUACAGAAAGGUAGAGUUCUACAAUUGGAAGUUAUUUUAGAUGUAAUGUAAUCGUUCUAUCAAUGUACAAAUGAGAAAACUGAGGCAAUAAGAAAUUAAGUGGUUUGCAGAGAGCUACAUAUCCAGUGUUCAAAGAAUCAGAACCAGGGCACCAGGCUCUUGACUUCCAAUUCAGUUCUGUUAUCAGCAUUAAUAAGGUGCCUUGAACAUGGAUGACACUAAAGGAAUAGGAAAUGACAACUGCUUUGUUCAUGGGAUUCCUAAGACCUAUUUAGGGGUUUUGAGAGUCUCAAUUUUUUUUCUUAAGAUUUUAUAUUUUUAUUUUUAGAGAGUAGAAGGGAGGGAGAAAGAGAGGCAGAGAAACAUCAACAUGUGGGUGCCUCUCGAGCGGCCCCUAACGGGGAACUGGCCUGCAACCCAGGCAUGUGCCCUGACUGGGAAUUGAAUUGGUGACUCUUGGGUUCACAGGCUGGCACUCAAACCACUGAGCCACACCAGCCAGGGCUGAAAGUCUCAAUAAUUUUAACACAAAGGAUUUGAUGCCAGACUAGUCUGUUAUUUUUAUUUAAAUGAAAUCUAGUGUCUAGCUUGGUGAGUGUAGGGAGUGGUAUGAAUGGUGAUAGGGGUGGUAUACUGCAAGGACAGAGACAAAGUGGUGACCUGUAAGAUGCUCCUUUAAAUUGUUCAGUGCAUGGAUAUAGUGGUGUUAUUAGAGAAAUAAUAUUUGAUUUACUAAGGCACUCUACUUCUCACAUCCAUCAGCUCCUGUUUAUGAUUUAGUUGGGUUAGUUUCCAAGCAGAAUGAACUCCCCCCACCCCCCCCCAAGAAAAGCCAGUGUGGCUUACAGAAUGGAGUUGAGUUCCUUGCCCUUCCUUCAUAGUUAAUACUAUCAGUGGGCCUGGACGUCUGCAGGCACUCAUUAGGUUUAAGUAACCAGUAGUUUGCAAAGAUUGAAAGAUAUAUUCUAUGAUUAUCUUUUGGUUGUAUUAGUUUCAAUGCUAAUCACAUCUGUUCUAGUUCCCAUGAACCUGUGCUGGUCUCUGGGCUCACUGUUGUUGAUUUUCUAUUUCAUUUGUACUUAAGGCUACAACACACGUGGCUAUUUACAUUUAAAUUAAUUAAAAUUAGAUAGCAUUGUAAGUUCAGUUCCUCAGUUAUACAUUCUAGGUGCUCAAUAACCACAUGUGACUAGUGGAUACUGUAUUGAACAGCUUGGGUGUAGAAAGCUUCCAUCACUGAUCACUGUAGCAAGUUAUAUUUUACAGCUCUGGUCUAGUGUUUUAUUCUGCAUGUACACAGUGCAGGUUUCUCUGAAGGCCUCUCAGGAUGACAUUAGUAUAGUGUGGUUGCAUUCAUCACAGAAGAGGAUAU